rnacentral:lncRNA from 1 species
AGGCCCUUUAUGCGUCAAAGAUUUGCAGCUAUGCUCAGGGGAUGAAUUUGUUGAGAGCCAAGAGUGUGGAGAAGGGGUGGAAUCUUAACCUUGCAGAACUCUCAAGGAUUUGGAAGGGCGGAUGCAUUAUCCGGGCAAGGUUUCUUGAUAGGAUCAAGAAGGCUUAUGAUAGGAACUCUGAGCUGGCCAAUUUGAUCGUGGACAGGGAGUUUGCAAGGGAGAUGGUACAGCGGCAGAGUGCAUGGCGGUGGGUCGUGGCACGGGCAGUGGAAGCUGGGAUUAGCACUCCAGGGAUGUCUGCUAGUCUUUCAUACUUCGAUACCUACAGGUGUAACCGGUUGCCUGCAAAUCUUAUCCAAGCACAGAGGGACUUGUUUGGGGCACACACCUAUGAGCGCAUUGAUCGUCCUGGUUCUUUCCACACAGAGUGGACCAAGUUGGCAAGGAAGAGCAAUUGAUCAACGGUGCAGCCGCCUGAGGAUUGUAUGGUACCAGAGGUGGUCUUUUGACUCUGGGCGAUGUCGCUUUGUGGGUUCACUUUGAUUGUCUACUGUUGUUUUUAUAAUGCUAGGUCUGAAUCCUGUACCUCGAAUAAUGUAUUGUCUUGUGCGAUAUGCACAUGAAGAACAUCCAUGUAGCUUCAGUUUUACUCUGGUUUAGAUACACUCAGUUUGAUUCACCCAUGAAUUUGGAAUGCAAUGGUUUUAAUGCCCAAUGAAUCUCAAUCUCACCUUGGAAGUGUCAUUUGGAAUGUGUUAAAACUAGGGGUAGUAACUAAUUUUCCCCUACUAUGAUCUACAUUAAAGGGUUUACUGUUGUGAGGUCUUUUGUUCAACAUUCCGUACUUCUGUCAUUCAACUGGGGAGCUAUCUCUGGUCCUUCAACGUUUAUGUGCAUGAGCCAUGCCCAGAACACAUCUCCGAAAAUAUUAAGAUGGGAUACCUGAUUGCUUGGAGAUUCCUCUAAGUCUGACCCUGGCCUGCUUUUGAAAAGCUGGAGCAACUUGAAGUAAGAACUUGGAGCUAAUGUUUCAGCAAUGCUCAUCGGUCAUCAUAUCAAUAUCAUACAUGAUUUUCUGAAAUUCUGAAUCAUAGCACACAUUCUUUACCGGGAAUAAUGUUAUUUUGCAUCCUUUUGGAUAUAGCAAAAGCUGGCAACUCUUUGGAGUUCUAAUAAAUUUAUAUUAGUCAAACUUAGUAGCAAGCUUAGUUUUGAUAGUAAAACCUCACUUUGACAAUUUUGGUUAGUUUAUAAUGUAGUUUUAUUUAUUUUCUCUUCCUUACAUAUUCUAGUUAACAUAUUAGUAAGAUGGAUGAUAUGCUCAUUUAUUAACCUAGUUCAACCAAUUUUGUUCAUGGCGAUGGGUUGUGGCACGGGCAGUGGAGGCUGGGGUUAGCACUCCAGGAAUGUCUUCUAGUCUUUCAUACUUUGAUACCUACAGGUGUAACCGGUUGCCUGCAAAUCUUAUCCAAGCACCGAGGGACUUGUUUGGGCACACACCUAUGAGCGCAUUGAUCGUCCUGGUUCUUUCCACACAGAGUGGACCAAGUUGGCAAGGAAGAGCAAGUGAUCAACGGUACGGCCACCUGAGGAUUGUAUGGUACCAGAGGUGGUCUCUGACUCUGGGUGGUGUCUCUUUUUGGGUUCAGUUUGAUUAUCUACUGUUGUUUUCAUAAUACUAGGUCUGAAUUCUGUACCUCGAAUAAUGCUGUGUCUUGUGCGGUACGCACAUGAAGAAUAUUCAUGUAGCUGCAGUUCUACUAUGGUCUAGAUGCACCCAGUUCGAUUCACUUCUAAAUUUGGAAUGCGAUGGUUUUAAUGCCUAACGGAUCUCAAUGUCACCUUGGAAGUAUGAUUUCGGAUAUGUUAAUAUGGCUAGUAAUAGUACUAACUGAUGUUUCCCUACUACUUUGAAUCUACGUUAGAGGG